CCUACGGGAGGCAGCAGUGGGGAAUAUUGGUCAAUGGGGGAAACUCUGACCCAGCAACGCCGCGUGAAUGAUGAAGGUCUUCGGAUUUUAAAGUUCUUUUUAUAGGGAAGUAGAAAGUGACGGUACCUUAGGAAUAAGCCUCGGCUAACUACGUGCCAGCAGCCGCUGUAAUACGUAGGAGGCGAGCGUUAUCCGGAAUUACUGGGUGUAAAGGGUGCGUAGGUGGUUUGGCAAGUUAGUAGGGUAAGUCCAAGGCUCAACCUUGGAACUACUACGAAAACUGGUUGACUUGAGUACAGGAGGGGUAAGCGGAAUUCGUAGUGUAGCGGUGGAAUGCGUAGAUAUUAGGAGGAACACCAGUGGCGAAGGCGGGUUACUAGACUGUAACUGACAUUGAGGCACGAAAGCGUGGGGAGCAAACAGGAUUAGAUACCCUUGUAGUC
rnacentral:rRNA from 1 species